AGCGAACGCUGGCGGCAGGCUUAACACAUGCAAGUCGAGCGGGCACUUUCGGGUGUCAGCGGCGGACGGGUGAGUAACGCGUGGGAACGUGCCAUCUGGUUCGGAAUAACUCAGGGAAACUUGAGCUAAUACCGGAUACGCCCUUUUGGGGAAAGGCUUGCUGCCGGAGGAUCGGCCCGCGUCUGAUUAGCUAGUUGGUGAGGUAACGGCUCACCAAGGCGACGAUCAGUAGCUGGUCUGAGAGGAUGAUCAGCCACACUGGGACUGAGACACGGCCCAGACUCCUACGGGAGGCAGCAGUGGGGAAUAUUGGACAAUGGGCGCAAGCCUGAUCCAGCCAUGCCGCGUGAGUGAUGAAGGCCUUAGGGUUGUAAAGCUCUUUUAUCCGGGACGAUAAUGACGGUACCGGAGGAAUAAGCCCCGGCUAACUUCGUG
rnacentral:rRNA from 1 species